rnacentral:rRNA from 1 species
GGCGAACGGGUGAGUAACACGUGGGUGAUCUGCCCUGCACUUCGGGAUAAGCCUGGGAAACUGGGUCUAAUACCGGAUAGGAGCCAUUUUUAGUGUGAUGGUUGGAAAGUUUUUCGGUGUAGGAUGAGCUCGCGGCCUAUCAGCUUGUUGGUGGAGUAAUGGCCUACCAAGGCGGCGACGGGUAGCCGGCCUGAGAGGGUGGACGGCCACAUUGGGACUGAGAUACGGCCCAG